UACGAAGGGGGGCUAGCGUUGUUCGGAAUUACUGGGCGUAAAGCGCACGUAGGCGGAUAUUUAAGUCAGGGGUGAAAUCCCGGGGCUCGAACCCCGGAACGGCCUUUGAUACUGAGGAUCUUGAGUUCGGGGAGAGGUGAGUGGAACUGCGAGUGUAGAGGUGAAAUUCGUAGAUAUUCGCAAGAACACCAGUGGCGAAGGCGGCUCACUGGCCCGAUACUGACGCUGAGGCACGAAAGCGUGGGGAGCAAACAGG
rnacentral:rRNA from 1 species